rnacentral:misc_RNA from 1 species
GAUGAAGAACGUAGCGAAAUGCGAUAAGUAGUGUGAAUUGCAGAAUUCAGUGAAUCAUCGAAUCUUUGAACGCACAUUGCGCCCUUUGGUAUUCCUUAGGGCAUGCCUGUUCGAGCGUCAUUUCAACCCUCGACCUCCCUUUGGGGAAGUCGGCGUUGGGGACCGGCAGCACACCGCCGGCCCUGAAAUGGAGUGGCGGCCCGUCCGCGGCGACCUCUGCGUAGUAAACCAACUCGCACCGGAACCCCGACGUGGCCACGCCGUAAAACACCCAACUUCUGAACGUUGACCUCGAAUCAGGUAGGACUACCCGCUGAACUUAAGCAUAUCAAUAAGCGGAGGA